GACGAACGCUGGCGGCGUGCUUAACACAUGCAAGUCGAACGGAAAGGCCCUGCUUUUGUGGGGCGCUCGAGUGGCGAACGGGUGAGUAACACGUGAGUAACCUGCCCUUGACUUUGGGAUAACUUCAGGAAACUGGGGCUAAUACCGGAUAGGAGCUCCUGCUGCAUGGUGGGGGUUGGAAAGUUUCGGCGGUUGGGGAUGGACUCGCGGCUUAUCAGCUUGUUGGUGGGGUAGUGGCUUACCAAGGCUUUGACGGGUAGCCGGCCUGAGAGGGUGACCGGCCACAUUGGGACUGAGAUACGGCCCAGACUCCUACGGGAGGCAGCAGUGGGGAAUAUUGCACAAUGGGCGGAAGCCUGAUGCAGCAACGCCGCGUGCGGGAUGACGGCCUUCGGGUUGUAAACCGCUUUCGCCUGUGACGAAGCGUGAGUGGCGGUAAUGGGUAAAGAAGCACCGGCUAACUACGUG
rnacentral:rRNA from 1 species